CUUUUUUCCACUGCCAGGAGAGGAGGUUCCCUUCAUUCAAGGCAUUUCUCUGCGCGUGUCGCUUUCCUGCCUAUUUGCACCAGAAAUAGCAAGGAGACUGAAAGUCCUUACAGGAGAUACUUGUGUAGCAGGAGAUUUUUUCCUAUUAAGAAGAAGACCUAAGAAAUUAUGCGUGGCAGCCUUCAGGUGCAGAGCUGGGUGUCUCCAUGGUGGUUUUGCCUAAAAAAUCAAAAUGAUUAGAGAAACCUACUGAAAUGAC
rnacentral:lncRNA from 1 species